rnacentral:rRNA from 1 species
GCCCUACGGGGCGCAGCAGGCGCGAAAACUUUACAAUGCGGGAAACCGUGAUAAGGGGACACCGAGUGCCAGCAUCAUAUGUUGGCUGUCCAGAUGUGUAAAAUACAUCUGUUAGCAAGGGCCGGGCAAGACCGGUGCCAGCCGCCGCGGUAACACCGGCGGCUCGAGUGGUGAUCGUGAUUAUUGGGUCUAAAGGGUCCGUAGCCGGUUUGGUCAGUCCACCGGGAAAUCUGACGGCUCAACCGUUAGGCUUU